rnacentral:rRNA from 1 species
UACGGAGGGUGCAAGCGUUAAUCGGAAUUACUGGGCGUAAAGGGUGCGUAGGCGGUUGUUUAAGUCUGUCGUGAAAUCCCCGGGCUCAACCUGGGAAUGGCGAUGGAUACUGGGCAGCUAGAGUGUGUCAGAGGAUGGUGGAAUUCCCGGUGUAGCGGUGAAAUGCGUAGAGAUCGGGAGGAACAUCAGUGGCGAAGGCGGCCAUCUGGGACAACACUGACGCUGAAGCACGAAAGCGUGGGGAGCAAACAGG